rnacentral:pre_miRNA from 1 species
CGACGGCGAUGAUGAUGAUGAUGAUGAUGAUGAUGAUGAUGAUCAUCAUCAUCAUCAUCAUCAUCAUCAUCGUCAACG